GACGAACGCUGGCGGCGUGCUUAACACAUGCAAGUCGAGCGGUAAGGCCCUUUCGGGGGUACACGAGCGGCGAACGGGUGAGUAAUGCUUAGGAAUCUGCCUAGUAGUGGGGGGAUAACCCGGGGAAACUCGGGCUAAUACCGCAUACGCCCUACGGGGGAAAGGCGGGGGACGUUCGGCCUCGCGCUAUUAGAUGAGCCUAAGUCCGAUUAGCUAGUUGGUAGGGUAAUGGCCUACCAAGGCGACGAUCGGUAGCUGGCUGAGAGGACGACCAGCCAC
rnacentral:rRNA from 1 species